rnacentral:rRNA from 1 species
UUUUGGGGCGAAGUAGCUGAUUUCACACUGUCAAGAAAAGCUUCUAUCGAGUUUAAAGGCGCCCGUACCGUAAACCGACACAGGUGGGUGAGGAGAGUAUCCUAAGGCCAGCGAGAGAACUAUUGUUAAGGAACUCGGCAAAAUGACCCCGUAACUUAGGGAGAAGGGGUGCCUGUCUAUGACAGGCCGCAGAGAAUAGGCCCAAGCGACUGUUUACCAAAAACACAGGUUUCUGCUAAGUCGCAAGACGAUGUAUAGGAGCUGACGCCUGCCCGGUGCUGGAAGGUUAAGGGGAUCUGUUAGAGCAAUCGAAGCAGUGAACUUAAGCCCCAGUAAACGGCGGCCGUAACUAUAACGGUCCUAAGGUAGCGAAAUUCCUUGUCGAGUAAGUUCCGACCCGCGCGAAAGGCGUAACGAUUUGGGCACUGUCUCAACAAUAGACUCGGUGAAAUUGUAAUCCCGGUGAAGAUGCCGGGUACCUGCGACAGGACGGAAAGACCCCAUGGAGCUUUACUGUAGCUUGACGUUGGGUCUUGGUACUACAUGUACAGGAUAGGUGGGAGACUAUAAAGCAUGGACGCCAGUCUGUGUGGAGUCAUCCUUGGGAUACCACCCUUGUAGUACUAGGAUCCUAACCAUAGGCCUUGAAUCAGGUCUUGGAACACCGUCAGGUGGGCAGUUUGACUGGGGCGGUCGCCUCCUAAAAAGUAACGGAGGCGCUCAAAGGUUUCCUCAGCACGGUCGGAAAUCGUGCGAAGAGUGUAAAGGCAAAAGGAAGCUUGAUUGCAAGACAUACAGGUCGAGCAAGGACGAAAGUCGGACUUAGUGAUCCGGUGGUACCGCAUGGAAGGGCCAUCGCUCAACGGAUAAAAGCUACCCUGGGGAUAACAGGCUUAUCUCCCCCAAGAGUCCACAUCGACGGGGAGGUUUGGCACCUCGAUGUCGGCUCAUCACAUCCUGGGGCUGUAGUAGGUCCCAAGGGUUGGGCUGUUCGCCCAUUAAAGUGGUACGCGAGCUGGGUUCAGAACGUCGUGAGACAGUUCGGUCCCUAUCCGUCGCAGGCGUAGGAAAUUUGAGAAGACCUGUCCUUAGUACGAGAGGACCGGGAUGGACGUACCUCUGGUGUACCAGUUGUCCUGCCAAGGGCAUGGCUGGGUAGCUAUGUACGGAAUGGAUAAGCGCUGAAAGCAUCUAAGCGCGAAGCCGACUUCAAGAUAAGAUUUCCCACCGUAAGGGUAAGACCCCAGGAAGACUACCUGGUUGAUAGGUCGAAGGUGUAAGUGCAGUAAUGUAUUUAGCUUAUCGAUACUAAUAGGUCGAGGACUUGACC